UUACAUUUUUGCCCUUAUUCAUAUCAUCUUCUUUGUAGAGAAGAGAAAAUCGAAAGAAACUAAAUUUGAAAGGGAGAAAAUAUUGGCAGAGAGAAUCGAGAGACGAAGAGAAAGAAAGAGGUAGAUCGAGUGAAAUAGUGCCAGAUCGAGUUUGUUUAUGUGUUUCUAGAGAUGAUCACGUAUUGUUGAAGGAAGAAGAACUCGAAUCUCAGAGAUGUUGGAUUUUUUUCAUCAUAAAAGUUGCGAAAGGUUCUCAAAUUAAGAUUGCAGUGAUUCAAAACGAAAGCAUACAACUAAUGGUGCAAAGGUGGAGAGAUUAGACCCCAAGAGGAAGAAAACUAGAUUUGAUUGUGAAUGGAAGUUCUUUUGCUACUACUACAUCAACACCAGAAAAGAUAUCCACAUGAACCAAUAUCAGGAGGAGCAGGGAAAGUGUGGCUUGCAAAACAAUAACUCCAAAGGCUGCUACUUCAUCAUCUGCAACUGUUAGAAAGAGCUGCUAGCAAGCCAAAAGGGAAACAAGGCAAGCCUAAGACAACUGCAACUAGUGUGAAUGUGGGAAAACACUAGCACUACUCUGUUAGUUCUUUAUAUGUAAACAUUUGAGGGCAUAUACACUACUAAAUUUAAAAGUUUAAGACGAUGUUUUAUAUUAAAACAAUCUUUGUUCCUCUUUCAAUUCCAGCCUACAUUCUAAUUUCAAA